rnacentral:rRNA from 1 species
UAACACAUGCAAGUCGAGGGGUAUAGUUCUUCGGAACUAGAGACCGGCGCACGGGUGCGUAACGCGUAUGCAAUCUACCUUUCACAGAGGGAUAGCCCAGAGAAAUUUGGAUUAAUACCUCAUAGUAUAGCAGUUUCGCAUGAAACCACUAUUAAAGUCACAACGGUGAAAGAUGAGCAUGCGUCCCAUUAGCUAGUUGGUAAGGUAACGGCUUACCAAGGCAACGAUGGGUAGGGGUCCUGAGAGGGAGAUCCCCCACACUGGUACUGAGACACGGACCAGACUCCUACGGGAGGCAGCAGUGAGGAAUAUUGGACAAUGGGCGCAAGCCUGAUCCAGCCAUGCCGCGUGCAGGAUGACGGUCCUAUGGAUUGUAAACUGCUUUUAUACGAGAAGAAACCCUCCGACGUGUCGGAGCUUGACGGUAUCGUAAGAAUAAGGAUCGGCUAACUCCGUGCCAGCAGCCGCGGUAAUACGGAGGAUCCAAGCGUUAUCCGGAAUCAUUGGGUUUAAAGGGUCCGUAGGCGGUCAGGUAAGUCAGUGGUGAAAGCCCAUCGCUCAACGGUGGAACGGCCAUUGAUACUGUCUGACUUGAAUUAUUAGGAAGUAACUAGAAUAUGUAGUGUAGCGGUGAAAUGCUUAGAGAUUACAUGGAAUACC